GGAUCGAUGAUGACACCCCUCACAUGCAUUCCUUGGAAAAUCUGAACAAAAUGAGUGAGAACUCACUACCGUCUCCUCAUCGAAACUGAGGUCC
ensembl:snoRNA SNORD116 Small nucleolar RNA SNORD116